AAUUUUGGACAAUGGGGGCAACCCUGAUCCAGCCAUGCCGCGUGUGUGAAGAAGGCCUUCGGGUUGUAAAGCACUUUCGGACGGAACGAAAUCGCGCGAUCUAAUAAGUCGCGUGGAUGACGGUACCGUAAGAAGAAGCACCGGCUAACUACGUGCCAGCAGCCGCGGUAAUACGUAGGUGGCAAGCGUUGUCCGGAUUUACUGGGCGUAAAGAGCGCGCAGGCGGUCGAUCAAGUCGCGUGUGAAAGCCCCCGGCUCAACUGGGGAGGGUCACGCGAUACUGAUCGACUCGAAGGCAGGAGAGGGUAGUGGAAUUCCCGGUGUAGUGGUGAAAUGCGUAGAUAUCUGGAGGAACACCGGUGGCGAAGGCGGCAUCCUGGACCAAUAUUGACGCUGAGGAGCGAAAGCCAGGGGAGCAAAC
rnacentral:rRNA from 1 species